GCCUGCCCCCGUGGUCAGACCCCUACAGCCCCUCCGUCCUAGGGUGCUCCCGAGCCCAGCCUCCUGUCUGCAGGGUCCCAGCCCUUCUGAAGAAGCGACCUAGGCAGCCCCUUGAUGACGCUGCAAGCCUUCCCAGCCCCGGCCCUCAGUUCCCACCUGUGGGAUGCAGAACCAGGACUGCCUGAGCUGCAGCCCCGGGCGGGACUGCCAUGGCCUCCCCAGGCAUCUCAGGAGGGCCUGCCAGGCGUGGGGUGUAGGAGGGCAGUAUCACCAGCCAUCGUGUCUUCAUUCGCAGGCCUGUCCUCCCAGGCAGAGGACUCCUGCCAAGGGAUACCCUCAUCCCAUCCUGACUGUGUCCCACUUCAGGGAGGUUGCCAGGCAGGGUGGACCCCAAGGCCCUGCUCUGUGACCGUGGGUGGCCUCCUUUGCCUCUCUGGACCAGUUUCCCCUACUGGGAAAGGGGGGCAUGGCCCAAGUCCACUCUAAAAGCUCAGAAUCGUAGCUUCUCUUCCUCUCCAGAAUCUUUGGGGUAUCUGAAAGCUUCCCUAGGCCUUGGUAGGCCUGGCACUGGAACAUGUCACUGAAGCCUCUUGGGCCGGGGCCUGUCUGUGGGGGGUGAGAACACAUUUUGCAGGAGAAAGGCCUGUUCCUCGGGGCCCUGGGCCAGUUCAGCUCCUUCCUUUCCUCACAGUAGGGAUGGCCCCAGAGGUUAAAGGAUGGCUUCCCAUCAGUCUAGGCCAGUGUGCAGGACAGUCUCACAAGGUCUGAUGUAAUGAUAUGAUGAACCAGCAGCAGCUCAGAGAGGUUAAGCCACACGCUCAAGGUCACCCAGCCCCUAGGCCCCUGCUGGCUCUCAGGCCACUGAGAUGUCAAGUGUUCCUCCAGCUGGGUGGUUGCAUACAGUCCUGUCUGCGCCUCCUGCUAGCAGGUUUGUGCCUCAGCGUCUUCCCAGGGCCUCUGACGCCCUCUCCCUCCCUGGCCCUCCCUGACCUCUUCAUUCUGUCCCUUUCCAUGCCUGUCUCAUGUUUCCCUUCUGGCCUCUCUGCCUCGCUCUCCCUUUCUCUUCCCUCCAUCCCUGCCUGACUCUAGGUCUCAUCUCCAGCUUCUCCUACAGGGCUGGCCUCAGGAAUCUGGGCUCUCAGGGGUCCCUAGAGACCAACAGAUGCCCAGCCGACCCCCGCAGUCCCUCUGCCCUGUGGCCACAGCAGGAAGGGUGGGCAAAGGACAGAGGGCAGAGGCUACUGCGGCCAAACCUGAAACUGGGGCUCAGCUUUGGUUGGGAAAGAAAUGAGGAAAUAAAGAACUUAGGGGCAGAGGGUGUGGGGUGUCGGGCGGGCAAAGGCUGCCCAUGAGCUGUAAACCAGAGCCACUCCCGGCUUUACGAGCAGCUCUGGGGCUGAGACUGGACUUCGCCCAGCAGAGUGCUGGCAUCAGACUCCAGGGGUGGGCCUCAGAUGAUAAGGAGCCUCAAAAAGACCACGGACCUGGGGCCCCAAAGACCCAAGGGUCAGGUGGGUGGGUGUGGGAUAUUUCCCGGACCUCUGCCCAAAGGGAGAUGCCAGGUGGGCAGGGCCCAGGCCUCCAAUCGGCUUCCACCCCCUGUAACAGCAACUCCAUGUGGAAGUGCCCACUGGUUCCAAUGGGGCUGCUGUUAUCUGGGAUGGAGGCCAGUGGCCACGGAGGAGGAGAGGCAGCUGCUGCCCAGCAGACCAGCAGGGGCCUCCCAGCCACUCUCCCAGGCCCAGGAGAGUGACAGGCUGUCAGUCGGCUGCCAUGAUCGAGUGCACAGGGCUCUGACCUAUGAAUUGACAGCCAGUGCUCUCGUGUCCCCUCUGGCUGCCAAUUCCAUAGGUCACAGGUAUGUUCGCCUCAAUGCCAGCCGCCAGGACCUGAUGGGGAAGGGGCUGGGCUAGGGGGUGUCUGCUGGGCAAUGAAGACUUGAGCGCAGCCCUCGAGACCCCACUCCUGCCUGUCUCAUUCCCACCUUUCCAUUUCCGCUCCGUGAGCUGGAACUGCUUCAGAGUCCCCCCUAUAUUGGUUGCACUGUGGCAUGCCUCUGUGCUUUGCCCGUGCUGUUCCCUUGGCCUGGAGCACCCUUCCCGGUCUCUACCAGGCUCACCCUUACUGUUCCAAGUUCUGCCCAAGCAUCUGCUACCUCCAGGAAGCCUUCUGGAAGCCCACUUGAUCCUAAGUGCCUACAAAGCAUCCCCAAGCACCCUAUACUUCCCCUGAGCAGUGCACUCACCCAAUGUUUCUGUCUUCCCACCACCUGUGAGCUCAGCCCCCCCACCCAGGCCUAGCCCAGGGGUGUGCUUCAUAAGUGUUUGAAGAGCCUAAGCCUCCAUCUUACAUCUCGAGGAAGAAUCUCCAUUGUGUAGUAUGGACAAGGGAGGCCAAGGGCUCUCGGCCCCAGUAUGUGCUGGAACCCCUCCUUCCACCGCACCCCCAUCCCCCAGCCCAGGACAAGGAGCGUGAGCCUGCCUCCCCUCCCUGCCCCUCUCUCCUCUCUCUUGCCAGUCAUGUCUCCGCAACACAGCCACUCUGGUGAAGGAGGCAGCCAACUGGUCAAGCCCACUCACCCUGCUCCAGCUUCCCCAACAGCCUCCCACUGAGUUUUUAUACAGUGGGGUUCUGCAGAAAUUUUCAUUUGAAUAAAAAAUUUUCUGUGGCUAAAAAAAUAGACAUUUUUAAAUUGGAAACACAGAUGUAGAAGCAAAUUCCAAAUUGCUUAAUAACAGGAACUUGUUCUUGAACCCUUUCUGUGUGCUGGGCACUUGGAUAUGUCAAUCAUCUGGAAACCUCUCAGCAACUUUGCAAGGCCCUGGGCCUGUGUGCAUCUUGCCUAGUCUGGAAACUGCUGUCACUCCUCCCAAGCCUCCAGGACACCUGCCUGGUUGCCCUGGUCCCCCACUCACUGGCUCCCAGGAUGCUCUGUGGCCUUUCUUAGGCACCCAUCACACAUCUUAAAUACACUCCAUCACCAAUGCCUGGCUGUUUCUCCCCGGCCUGUGAACCACUGACUUUUUGCUUCCUGUAGCCUCGGGGACUGGCACAGAGUAGGUGCUUAAUAACACAUGCUGAAGGACUGACCGUACGCGAGAAGGUGUUCAUGGGGAGAGAGACAUCAGACGUUUGGAGGCCCUCAGUCAUUGCCCACCAUCAUCUUCAUCACCGUCAUCUUUACAGAACACAAUGCCGACUGAAGAGGUGUCCUGAGAAUGUGUGCAAAUUAACCAUUUUCCAAUCUCGGAGAAAGGUGGGUGGCGGGAAGAGGAUCAGUGUUGGGCAGCCGUGAUAGGGAAAGUCUCCCUGAAGGAGCUGAAUUUGAAUUAAGCUUUCGCAGAGGUGAAGCUCAGUGACAGGUCGUGAGCACAGGAGAAGGAAGGAAUAACAAGGACAAAUGCACGGAAAGGGGACGAGGCCUGGGGCAGGUGGGCUGUUCCCUCCCGCCUCGUAGCGUCCUCUUCUGCAAGUCUUGCUCCCUGUGGCCACCACCAGGGGGCGCGCCAGACCGCAUUCCUCCGAGCUGGGCGAGGCCUCUCCCCACCGACUCCUUCCCAGCCUGCGGGGAUGUCCGCACUCUACAGCGUCCACCUGGCACAAAGCGGGGUUCCUGAUGGGACUUUUACAGCUGUUAUGUGUGUAUAAAACAUAAAUGUACAGUGAAUACUUGUAUAAUUAUGAGACCCUGUGUAACUAUUACUCAAGUUAAGAAAGAAAAUCUCUGUGCUGCAGAACCCCAGACAAAAUACGUUCUUCCAGGUGACCCCUCGCGACCUUCAUAGUAACCACUUCUUGCCUUUCUCUCUGCAGUUCCCCACCCAUGCAUGCAGCCCAAAACAGGGUGUGAUCAUUUUGCCUGGGUUUGUUACAUGUUUAUUAUAUAAAUGAAUUCUGCUGCC